rnacentral:rRNA from 1 species
AGAUUGAAACGCUGGCGGCAUGCCUUACACAUGCAAGUCGAACGGUAACGGGCCUUCGGGUGCCGACGAGUGGCGAACGGGUGAGUAAUGUAUCGGAACGUACCUUUCAGUGGGGGAUAACGUAGCGAAAGUUACGCUAAUACCGCAUAUUCUGUGAGCAGGAAAGCAGGGGAUCGCAAGACCUUGCGCUGAUUGAGCGGCCGAUAUCAGAUUAGCUAGUUGGUGAGGUAAAGGCUCACCAAGGCGACGAUCUGUAGCGGGUCUGAGAGGAUGAUCCGCCACACUGGAACCGAGACACGGUCCAGACUCCUACGGGAGGCAGCAGUGGGGAAUUUUGGACAAUGGGGGCAACCCUGAUCCAGCCAUGCCGCGUGAGUGAAGAAGGCCUUCGGGUUGUAAAGCUCUUUCGGCCGGGAAGAAAUCGUAUGGGUUAAUACCCUGUGCGGAUGACGGUACCGGCAUAAGAAGCACCGGCUAACUACGUG